UACGGGUGGCUGCAGUAGGGAAUCUUCCACAAUGGACGCAAGUCUGAUGGAGCAACGCCGCGUGAGUGAAGAAGGUCUUCGGAUCGUAAAACUCUGUUGUUAGAGAAGAACACGAGUGAGAGUAACUGUUCAUUCGAUGACGGUAUCUAACCAGCAAGUCACGGCUAACUACGUGCCAGCAGCCGCGGUAAUACGUAGGUGGCAAGCGUUGUCCGGAUUUAUUGGGCGUAAAGGGAACGCAGGCGGUCUUUUAAGUCUGAUGUGAAAGCCUUCGGCUUAACCGGAGUAGUGCAUUGGAAACUGGAAGACUUGAGUGCAGAAGAGGAGAGUGGAACUCCAUGUGUAGCGGUGAAAUGCGUAGAUAUAUGGAAGAACACCAGUGGCGAAAGCGGCUCUCUGGUCUGUAACUGACGCUGAGGUUCGAAAG
rnacentral:rRNA from 1 species